ensembl:lncRNA
UAGAAUCUCAAUUCAACGGCUCAGACACAAGAGGCAUGUGGCAGUGUCUACAGUCAAUCACGGACUACAGGAAGAAAUCCAGCCCAGUCACGGACCAGGAUGUCUUGCUCCCAGGCAGACUAAAUAACUUUUUUGCCCGCUUUGAGGACAAUACAGUGCCACUGACACGGCGUGCAACGAAAACAUGCGGUCUCUCCUUCACUGCAGCCGAGGUCACCAGCUGUCAGGCAGCUAGUGGAGGGAGCCGCCAUUCCUGUCUUCCUCUCCUUCUUUCCCUGUCUCCCUCGCUCCACUUCUCCAUUUGGGAGCAUGUGCCUCUCCGCUCUGGGUGCAUCAUGGGGGAACUUCAGGUAAAUGAACCAAAGCGAACUCUGCACC